rnacentral:rRNA from 1 species
UAUCAUUAGUAUUAAUAGUUAAGGUCUUUAAAUUAAAAGGAUUUGACGGUAACUUAUCAAUUCAGAGGAACCUGUUCUUUAAUCGAUACUCCACGUUAAAUUUUACCUUAGUUAUUGCUUAUAUACCUCUGUCUAUUAGAGUGUUUUAUAAGAAUAUUCUCUUUUAUUAUUUUAUAAUUUAUACCAGGUCAAGGUUUAGCUAUAUUAAGGUUGAAAUGGGUUACAUUUAAUUUUUAUUAUUGGAUCUUAUUAUGUAUAAAUAAGUGAAAUUGGAUUUGGUUGUAAUACAUAUUAUAUUUUAUUUAUGAUAUUUGUUCUAGGUUAAG